rnacentral:rRNA from 1 species
GCAUAUCAAUAAGCGGAGGAAAAGAAACCAACAGGGAUUGCCCUAGUAACGGCGAAGUGAAGCGGCAACAGCUUCAAAUUUGAAAUCUGGCGUCUUUGGCGUCCGAGUUGUAAUUUGCAGAGGGCGCUUUGGCAUUGGCAGCGGUCCAAGUUCCUUGGAACAGGACGUCACAGAGGGUGAGAAUCCCGUACGUGGUCGCUAGCCUUUACCGUGUAAAGCCCCUUCGACGAGUCGAGUUGUUUGGGAAUGCAGCUCUAAAUGGGAGGUAAAUUUCUUCUAAAGCUAAAUACUGGCCAGAGACCGAUAGCGCACAAGUAGAGUGAUCGAAAGAUGAAAAGCACUUUGGAAAGAGAGUUAAAAAGCACGUGAAAUUGUUGAAAGGGAAGCGCUUGCAGCCAGACUUGCCUGUAGUUGCUCAUCCGGGUUUCUACCCGGUGCACUCUUCUAUAGGCAGGCCAGCAUCAGUUUGGGCGGUUGGAUAAAGGUCUCUGUCAUGUACCUCUCUUCGGGGAGAACUUAUAGGGGAGACGACAUGCAACCAGCCUGGACUGAGGUCCGCGCAUCUGCUAGGAUGCUGGCGUAAUGGCUGUAAGCGGCCCGUCUUGAAACACGGACCAAGGAGUCUAACAUCUAUGCGAGUGUUUGGGUGUCAAGCCCGAGCGCGUAAUGAAAGUGAACGGAGGUGGGAACCUUUCGGGGUGCACCAUCGACCGAUCCUGAUGUCUUCGGAUGGAUUUGAGUAAGAGCAUAGCUGUUGGGACCCGAAAGAUGGUGAACUAUGCUUGAAUAGGGUGAAGCCAGAGGAAACUCUGGUGGAGGCUCGCAGCGGUUUCUGACGUGCAAAUCGAUCGUCAAAUUUGGGCAUAGGGGCGAAAGACUAAUCGAACUAUCUAGUAGCUGGUUCCUGCCGA